CCGCAAUGCUUGAGAGAAUGGCUGCAUGAACCAUUUCUCACAGGCGUCCUGAGAAGCAAUUCUCAGGAGUAUCACCGGGUGAAUUGCUGGAAAAGCCUUAGAGCCCUUUAUACCACAGCAUAGCCGGAAACGGCAAGUGCGAUGGUUUGAAAAAUAAAGGGAUUGGCCAACCAGCAGCCAAGCUCCUGGACCGAAAGGUUGGAGAAGGUUCAACGAUCAGGACAUACCACCUAAGGGCAUAAAGCCUAUGGUGCUGAAGUCCGUAGGGAGAAAUCCCGAAGCGCCCGGCUCCUAUCAGAGAAUUGAUAGGAUGAAGAUAUGAUCUAUUCGGUAUCCGAAAGGAACCG
rnacentral:ncRNA from 1 species